CUAAGCCAGUGCUCCUUUGAGUGCUUCUGCUCUGCUUGCUCUCAGCCCUUCUGUUUCUCCCCUCCUCUGGUUCUCCCUCUCCAGCAGCAGACACCAGGAUGUGGCUGUGGAUGUGUGUUGCUGUAACAACAGGACUGAGAGCUCUGGAGGUGUGUGCUGUCCCCAGUGUUUUACAAAGGAGGUAAGAAAAUUAUUUGGAGCUCCACCCGGCCUUAAUGAAGACGUGUAACCCCAUGAGUUGGCU
rnacentral:lncRNA from 1 species